UACAGAGGUCUCGAGCGUUAGGCGGAAUCACUGGGCUUAAAGCGUGUGUAGGCGGAUCGUUAAGUACCUUGUGAAAUCCCAUGGCUCAACCAUGGAACUGCUUGGUAUACUGGCGAUCUUGUGCAACCUAGGGGCGAGCGGAACAGAUGGUGGAGUGGUGAAAUGCGUAGAUAUCAUCUGGAACGCCAAUGGUGAAAACAGCUCGCUGGGGGUUUGCAGACGCUGAGACACGAAAGCCAGGGGAGCGAACGGG
rnacentral:rRNA from 1 species